UCCGUCAGGUAGCUCUGUGUGAGCGGUGGUAUGAGCAGCCAAUCCCCUUUUGUCCUUUUGUUUUCCCACCGACUGACUGUCCCAAUGCUGUGUUUGUAACGCGCGCUUUGUCUCGUGUUUUGUGAGGUUAAGGUAUAGCAGUGUGUGGUUUUCAUCGUUGCAUUUGUUAAUAAACAUCGUUUACAUGAGGCGAAGAUCUUAAAAUUAAGUUAAUUCUCUGCAAUAUGCAUGCAUGCUUGCAUACGUAGUUGAGUGUGUGUUAUGGUGAACGUCAUGGUUCCGGAAAUGUUUUGAAUUGUGCGAAGUCGUAUUAAUGAAGAUCUGAGACUCUGGUGUGUGUUGCAAAGUGUAAUUAACUGUUUGACUUCAUAAAUCCGGAUUUCUGGAGCCGUAGAGAGAGAGAACUGGACGCGUGGGAGUCUGAUUUUCUGAUCUGCAUCAUUCCUUUGUUCAGAAAUUCAGGGGCUGUUUAAGUGAAUUACCCGGAGGAAGAGACUGCAAUAAUGAAAUGGACCUGUACCCUGCACCUGACACUACUGUAGUAAUUUUCUCUACGAGGAUGAGAUUGCUGGGACACAUAAAACGCUUGAAGGAGCAGAGGUGAUAUCUGGAUAGAAGUUUUGCAAUGAAACGGCAGAAAUAUUGAUCCAACAUACACACAGGCCCACAAUAUGCAAUACCACACAACAUCCAAGCUACUACCACGAAAAUAAAAACGAGGUAAGGCAGUUCCUAUACGCAAGUCGUGACUUAACGCCAGCAUAGUCGGGAAAUCUAUAUUGCUUCAAGACACACGGAUUACCUGCACGUAAAAUGACAUUAUUAUAACUGAAGUACAAAUAAGGAGUAUGUAAUACAGAUGAACUAUUCAUGAAUGGCGUAAUUGUAAAGCG